CCUACGGGAGGCAGCAGUGGGGGAUAUUGCACAAUGGGGGAAACCCUGAUGCAGCGACGCCGCGUGAGUGAAGAAGUGUUUCGGUAUGUAAAGCUCUAUCAGCAGGGAAGAAAAUGACGGUACCUGAUUAAGAAGCCCCGGCUAACUACGUGCCAGCAGCCGCGGUAAUACGUAGGGGGCAAGCGUUAUCCGGAUUUACUGGGUGUAAAGGGGGCGGAGACGGCAGCACAAGUCUGGAGUGAAAGGCCGGGGCUUAACCCCGGAACUGCUGUGGAAACUGUGCAGCUAGAGUGCAGGAGAGGCAAGCGGAAUUCCUAGUGUAGCGGUGAAAUGCGUAGAUAUUAGGAGGAACACCAGUGGCGAAGGCGGCCUACUGGACUGUAACUGACGUUGAGGCCCGAAAGCGUGGGGAGCAAACAGGAUUAGAUACCCUUGUAGUC
rnacentral:rRNA from 1 species